UACGUAGGGGGCAAGCGUUGUCCGGAAUCAUUGGGCGUAAAGAGCGUGUAGGCGGCCCGGUAAGUCCGCUGUGAAAGUCGGGGGCUCAACCCUCGAAUGCCGGUGGAUACUGUCGGGCUAGAGUGCGGAAGAGGCGAGUGGAAUUCCUGGUGUAGCGGUGAAAUGCGCAGAUAUCAGGAGGAGCACCAAUUGCGAAGGCAGCUCGCUGGGACGUAACUGACGCUGAGACGCGAAAGCAUGGGGAGCGAACAGG
rnacentral:rRNA from 1 species